UCCAUAUUCAGGAGGAGAUUGAGGAGGUGUUUGCCGUUCCGGAAGUGAAGGAGAAGAAGAAGAGCAGAAAUGCUUUGAGGAAGGGGUCGGAAGGUGAAGAGGUCCGAGCUAUGCAGACAAUUCUUCAGAAAGCAUCUGGAGCACGGAAAAAUCCUGUACAAGAAAUGCAGAAAGUGGGAAAGUUGGAUACCAAAGUGAACGGACAAAGAAUCCAGCCUGUCUCCAGCAGUGCUCAAAUAACAUAAAUGACUGCAGUUCAAGAUCACACUAAGAGAAAUAACACAACUAGGAAGCAAGAGGUGAAGGCAUCGGUACAAGAGCUUGCUUCUCGAGUUGCUUCCCGAGUCAAUGCUGUAGCUGAUGAAAAGAUCACACCACCAAAUUCGGCAUAUCAAUUUGAGGUUUCUUAGCGAGGACUCUCUGGAGAUACUGCUCGACAGACUAGCCUGUUGAAUGUCUGCAAAAGUAUUCAUGGGGUUUACUGUAAAAAAUAUAGUUUGCCAAAAUGCAAGAUUCUUGUGUUCAUUGUCAUCCCGAAGUAGGUGACCAUGAAUGUGUUCUUUUUGCAUGCUGGUCAUCCGUGCAGUUGACCACUGCAAAGAUUCUAUUAGUCUCGUCUAUUGUCCUCUUUGGAUGGUUGCCAGAAGUAUACCAGUAAUUGCAUUGUCAGUCUGCCCAUCUGGCUUCUGCAUGCUAGGGGCCAUCCAAGAAGUUCCCGAUUUGUUGUGUUCCUUUUGAACAAUUUCAAAUGUCCAUAAAGGAUUGUGAAUAUAGUUGGUAUUUGUUUAGGAAAUCAUCACUCAUUCUGACUUUCCAUUUAUGCUGUUACUUUGUUUCAUGUUAUUUUUUGUGGUAUUUCUAUACAGGCUAUAUCUCCAAGUGCAUUGCCGCAGAUAUUCAAAAAUGCUUUGACUGUUCCCAUACUUCUUGACAUUAUCAAGUGUGCGGCAACCUUUUUCGUUGAAGAAAUGGAUUUGGCCGUCAAUUAUUUGGAGAACUUAACCAGGGUUCCAAGAUUUGACACACUCAUCAUGUUUCUUUCAUCCUCAGACAACGCUGAUCUUGUUAAGAUAUGGGAUGAAGUGUUUGACAAUGAAGCAACUCCGAUUGAGUAUGCCGAGAAGCUUGAUAACCUGCAUACAAAGUACUGCCCCAAGCGAUGACAAAGCUCAACAAGUUUCUACUUUACCCUCCUCCACCUCUUGUACUGUAAAUUCAAGUUGUAAAAUUUUGAAAUGCUCCAACGACCCCUUUGAAUCUCAAAUUAUAUCGUGGACAAUUUUUCUAUCCAUUUGUCGAGAUGUUAAAAGUACAUUGCAACUUUUACUUCA